UCGCGAAAACUUCACAAUGGGGGAAACCCCGAUGAGGGAAUUCCAAGUGUCAGCACAUUGUGUUGACUGUUCCCGUGUCUAAAAAACACGAGAAGUAAGGGCCGGGUAAGACGGGUGCCAGCCGCCGCGGUAAUACCCGCGGCCCGAGUGGUGGUCGAUAUUAUUGAGCCUAAAACGUUCGUAGCCGGUCUUGUAAAUCCUUGGGUAAAUCGGCCAGCUUAACUGUCCGAAGUCCGGGGAGACUGCAAGACUUGGGAUCGGGAGAGGUCAGAGGUACUUCUGGGGUAGGGGUAAAAUCCUGUAAUCCUAGAAGGACCACCGGUGGCGAAGGCGUCUGACUAGAACGAAUUCGACGGUGAGGAACGAAGCCCUGGGGCGCAAACGGG
rnacentral:rRNA from 1 species